AACGAACGCUGGCGGCGCGCCUAAUACAUGCAAGUCGAACGAGAAGCUGUAGCAAUACAGUUGUACAGUGGCGAACGGGUGAGGAAUACAUGGGUGACCUACCCUCGAGUGGGGAAUAACCAGCCGAAAGGUUGGCUAAUACCGCGUACGCUUCCCAGUCUACGGGUUGGGAAGGAAAGCGAUGCCGUGGGUAUCGCGCUCAAGGUUGGGCUCAUGUCCUAUCAGCUUGUGGUGGGGUAACGGCUCACCAAGGCAACGACGGGUAGCUGGUCUGAGAGGACGAUCAGCCACACUGGCACUGCGACACGGGCCAGACUCCUACGGGAGGCAGCAGUAAGGAAUAUUGCGCAAUGGGCGAAAGCCUGACGCAGCGACGCCGCGUGGGGGA
rnacentral:rRNA from 1 species